rnacentral:lncRNA from 1 species
CAUGUUUGCUUCCCCUUCUGCCGUUAUUGCAAAUUCCCUGAGACCUCCCCAGCCAUGCAGAACUGUUAGUCAAUUAAGCCUCAUUCCAUUAUAAAUUGCCCAGUUUCAGGCAGUUCUUCACAGCAGCAUGAAAAGGGACUAAUACAAUACUCUUAUAUGAUGAAAGUAGUUGAAACAGCAAGUUCUCUCCUUUCCGAAUAUAUGUCCUGAGACUAAACUUCUUUGAUUUCUCCAUGGAGGGGAUAGGACAUUGGGCCGAUCUCAUUGCUCCCAGCCUAGCAGGCAUCAGAACCUUAGAAGCCAUGAUUUCACUCAGUGAGUCACUGUCACAUUGGCACAUCCUAUUCCCUGUUGAUGGUGCCACCUUUUACACAAAGGCACUCAGCACAUCCUGCACUGGCAAUGAGAUGAGUCUCCCUGGCUGCCCCUUCCUCUAUGCGACCUCACAAUGAUUGCAUUGGAAGGAUUAUGACAGCAACUUCCUGCAGUCCCAUGGUGCCCAACAAAUUGAGGGUGACUCAGUGCCUCAGACAAGGAGGUAAAUGUUUCUUUUCAAUGAUUAUAAUCGUCACUCUUUCCUGUCCCCUCCUCCCCACAGUUGCUGAUACUAUAUUCCAUUAUGUUUAUAAAAAUAUUAAGGGACAUUAGUAUAAGGUGAUUAGGAUAAUAUUUAGUUACUAUUAUAAUAUAUUCUGUUUGAAAUACUAUAACUUAAGAUGUUCCAGACAUUGCACCACAGACUUUAUACAUUGUGGUGGACAAAACAUGGCCAGAAAUUUAUCAACAUUUCUGCAAUUCAGAGGAUACUGAGGCACUGUGAGGUUCACUGAAAGCUGGACUGUGAGGAAGAUUCGGGCCGUCGGACUCCAGACCCCAAGCUCUAACAUACUAUAUGGAGAAAUUAAGGCAUUGAAAAGUCACUUGCCCCAGAUGACACAGCUAGUGGACAGUCGAGGAAAUGUGGGCUCUGGAGUUGAAUCACGAUCUAGAUUCAAAUCUUGGUCCUGCCAUUUGCUGGAGGGACAUGUUUAGGAGGGCAUCCCAGGAGAAGGCAGAGUCCAGGAGGCGGAUGUUGGGAAGCAAAUCCUGAACUCAUCAAGUCCCAUAGCCCCUUUGUCUAUGGACCUUCUGCCAGCAUCUUCUGUAAGGUUCUAGGUAAGAGAAAGGACUCCCCUUUUCUUGGAGUGCAGAGGCUGGAAGUUAAGAGGUAUAUUCGGCAGAGGCCAGACAGGUGAGUGAAAAUGACAUGUUUAAAGAACUGAAAGAAAGUAACUAUGGCUGAAACAUGACAGGAGAGAGGGGAUGCGGAGAGAAGAGAUUGGAGAGGUAAAUGUAGGUCCCAUAUGCAGGGUCUUCAAAGCAAAGGACACUGAGAACCCAUUGCAAGGUUUUGAGCAGAAGGUGGCAUAAUCAGAUUUGGGUUUUAGAAAGACUACUCUGGCUGCCUUGUGGGGAAGAAAAAAAUGUAUGUAUGGAAUGGGAUAGAGGAGGGGUACUUAAGUUUUAUUAUGUCUGAUGGCACAAUAAUUGAUCCAUCAUCUUGGGUUUAACCCAAGGGUAGUUGGGGAGGUAGGAGAGCAGGAGAAUGUAAUGUCAAAUAUGGCCAUCACUUACUGGCAUUGAGAAAUAUGAGGCAUAGUGCUCAAUAGAUAUUACAUGUGUUUCUUGUGGUGGGCCAACAGUCCCCACCUCCUGCUAUUCACACUCUUAUAUACUCCACUCUUUUUGAGGGUGGACUGGAUCUAGUGACUUCUUUCUAGUGAACAGAAUACAUCAAAAAUAAUGAGAUGUCGCUUCCACACUUGCGUUUAAAAAGACGGUGGCUUCCACCUUCUGGCAUUCUCUCUGUUGCUGUCACUUACUUGGUCUGAUGAAGCUCUCUAUGGAGAGGCCCACAUAGCAAGGAAUUGAGGGCAGCCUCCAGUGAUCAGCCAGAGACUACUGAAGGUUUCAGUCCAACAACCUAUGAGGAACUGAAUCCUGCCAGCAAUCAAUGACUGAGCCAGGAAAUGGAUCCAGCCCCAGUUGAGAGGACUAUGGCUCUAGCUGGCACCUUCCCUGUAGCCUGGGCAAGACCCUGAAACAGGAUUCAGGUAAGCUGUACCUGGCUUCCUGACCCACAGAAACUGAGAGAUCGGAAAUACGUGUUGUUUUAGGAUGCUAAGUUUUAGGGUAAUUUGUUACACAGCAACAUAGAACUAAGGCACUACUAUAUGAUGUCACAGAAGGCAAGAGAGGUACAGUAUUGAGAAGAGAAAGUGACUAGCAUUGUCACAUGUGACAGGGAGAUCAAAGAUAACCCAGGAUGGUAAGGAACGAGAAAGCAUUGAGUCUGGCAAGUAGGCAGGUAGCAUGAUUUGCAAGGAAGCAGUGAGAGUACGCUAGGUGGGCUGGAGUAGAAAAGGCUUGCCUUGGCAGGGAGCACCUGUUUAUUUGUCAAGGAUGUCCUGGCCAGCCUGUCCUCCUAGAGACCCCACAUUAUGCCCCAUGCUUCAGGGAGGGGCUGCAUUUACUCAGGAGUAGACUACUUAGAGAAGCCAAGCUCACAGGACCUCAAGACCACACAGGAAGCAACAGGUGAUAAGGGGAUUUGAAAUUAGGCGAACCAUCUUUCUGUCCCCUUGCUCUUGACCACUGUUUUACUGCCCUCUUUCAGUCUUUAACGAUUUCUUUAAUAACUCUUUCAUUUGUUGGCAUUUAUUGUGUGACAGGCACCGGGGAUUCAAAGGAAAGUAACUUAUAGAUGGCCCCUUCCCUGGGGAAGUUUACCACCCUUUGGGGACAGAUCACCAAAAUCCUCUUCCUUGCUGGCACCCAUUGAGCACUUCCUGUGAACCAGGCUCCGUGCUAAGCCCUGUACCUGGGAUAUCUUAUUUAAGCCUCAGAACUCUUAUCUCCAGAGUAAUGGUUCACCUAUCUCUUGCCCUGGGAGGCUGACACCUGUAGACUGCAUCUCACGCUCUCCUUGGCCAGCUAGCUUCAAGUUGAGUUCAGCUAGAAAACAACCCUGACAAGGAAAUGAGAAGUUUCUUCAAUCAACCCUUAUUUUUCUUUGCUGUGAGGACCAGGAAGGAACCAAUCUGUUUAAAAACUGUUGCCCGCUGGUGGCUCGUUGCCAGGUCUGAGAUAACACUGGUGGUCCCUCUGAGGGCUGAGGACGCAUUCCCCGGGUACUGCAAUCAGAGCAGACGCAUGUGCAGCUGUGGAUGGAGGGAGCUGACGUGUUCUCUCCGGGAGCAGAGGAGCAAAUGUCACGAGAAAAGCCCUUGAAAAUGGUUCUCAUCCCUUUCUCCAUCGCAGACAACCCAGAAUAAACUGUUCUGAAAUGUUGACGUUUAAUAAUAUUAAUAUUAGUAAUGGCUGGAAAGGGCUUCUGGUAAUGAGAUUCCAGGAUAAAUAGGUCACUGGGUUUUCAUUGCUUAUCAAUGAAGUUCCCAAAAAGAUCUUUUUUAAGGAAAUAGGCUCAUGUAAACUUUUUUUUUUUUAAAAAAAGGAAGGAAAUACAUUGUCUUUAUAAUAAGG